AGUAAAGUAAAGUAAAUUGAAUUGUCGUAUAACGUAGGAAGAACUCACGGAUGUUACAUACUUUUAAUAUACAAAUACAAACACACAUGUGAACGAGUGGAAUACCAAAGUCGAACUCCCCCUCUGACAUUUGAGAAUAGUAUAUAUAAUAUCAACCUGUCCUAAGGACAUUUUAUAAUGUAUAUAAAUACACACGUUUUAGAGUUACAUAUAUUAAUCAUCCUGACAUAAGGUCAGUCCGUAUGCAUCCUGAACUAUAAUACUCAUAAAUCAUGUCAUGUUCCAUAGUGCACAUUAUGAAAUAAAAACCUUAUUAUAUGUAUAUACAUGUUGACUUGUCAAUCUUUUUGAAUAUAGCGUGUAUGACUCAUUAGCCUGUGCAACCAGCUAUACGACAAUUCCUCCAUUACUUAUAAAAAAAAUAUUUAAAAAAAAAGUAUUGAACAAGUUAUUAUUUAAUAUCAAACAUUUCAAACUCGUUCUAACAAAUUAUAAAAAUCUAAAAUCUAAAAUCAACUUGACAUCUGUUUUACCCUUAAGGUAAUAUCCGGUCAGAGAUGUCCGGUCAGAGAUGUUAUCUAAUGACUUUUUAUUACUUUAUCUUUAAAAGAAAAAACGCCUUAGGAAACAAUAUUCGGAAAUAUUCGCUCAAUAUAUUUUCUUGUCACUUUUUAAAAAGUUUUCGGAUACUGCAGUCGGGUAAGUUAUAAUUUACUUCAACAAUUUUGUAAUGUUUUUAAUAAGUAAAAAAAUAAUAAUUGUUAAAUGUAAAGAUAAUUUUUUUUUUUGUCAGUUAAUAUUUUCCUUUAUUUCAUCAUAAAAAAAAAAAGAGAAAAAAAAGUUAAUUUCUAGAGAUCAAGAAAACAUAAAAAACAAACAAAUAAGUUAACAAUUUUCAAAGAACAAAUUAUUUUAAGAAUAUUAGUUAGAAAAACUUUAAGGGAUAAAAUUUAACAGAAUUAUAUUUAUGAUAAGAGUAGAAAAGAUAUUUAUAUACGAAAAAGUUUAAAAAAUAUUAUAAACAAUUGAUAAUUGAUAAAAUGUCCAGGUGUUUCAUUUCCUGUAAAACGUGUAUUGUGCAUGCGCAUUGAACACUUCCUGUGACAGGUAUGUUUUUUGUAACAGGUACUUGCUGACAUCAGUAUGGCUUGGUCGUCGUGACGUGUCGGGAAUUUCAAAUCGUUGAUAUAUGAACAACAAGACAACUGUCAUAAAAUGCAUAGGAUAAGAAUUCCAAUGAAAGAUGUUCUCUAGUGUACUUCGUUGUGUCCCGCUAUCCAAAAUCGUCGCUUCGACAUCGCUGGUCUUAGGCGCCAAAUCAACCGUUGUCGUAUAACGGAGGAAGAACUCACGGAUGUUACAUACUUUUAAUAUACAAAUACAAACACACAUGUGAACGAGUGGAAUACCAAAGUCGAACUCCCCCUCUGACAUUUGAGAAUAGUAUAUAUAAUAUCAACCUGUCCUAAGGACAUUUUAUAAUGUAUAUAAAUACACACGUUUUAGAGUUACAUAUAUUAAUCAUCCUGACAUAAGGUCAGUCCGUAUGCAUCCUGAACUAUAAUACUCAUAAAUCAUGUCAUGUUCCAUAGUGCACAUUAUGAAAUAAAAACCUUAUUAUAUGUAUAUACAUGUUGACUUGUCAUUCUUUUUGAAUAUAGCGUGUAUGACUCAUUAGCCUGUGCAACCAGCUAUACGACAGAAUUACUGCCUUGUUUGUAGUGCAUUUAAGAAGCGCCAGAUGAUAAUUAAGAAUAAAUUUAUUUUGUUACAAUUAAAAAACAACAUAAUUAUGUAUCACAUAUGUAUGUAUAUUUGUUCAACCUUGCUGUUUAUAUGGCGUUUUUUUUUCGUUUUAUUUUUAUAUCAAAUAUUUUGAUAUAAAACA